rnacentral:rRNA from 1 species
GACGAACGCUGGCGGCGUGCCUAAUACAUGCAAGUAGAACGCACAGUUUAUACCGUAGCUUGCUACACCAUAGACUGUGAGUUGCGAACGGGUGAGUAACGCGUAGGUAACCUGCCUGGUAGCGGGGGAUAACUAUUGGAAACGAUAGCUAAUACCGCAUAAUAUUAAUUAUUGCAUGAUAAUUGAUUGAAAGAUGCAACUGCAUCACUACCAGAUGGACCUGCGUUGUAUUAGCUAGUAGGUGAGGUAACGGCUCACCUAGGCGACGAUACAUAGCCGACCUGAGAGGGUGAUCGGCCACACUGGGACUGAGACACGGCCCAGACUCCUACGGGAGGCAGCAGUAGGGAAUCUUCGGCAAUGGACGAAAGUCUGACCGAGCAACGCCGCGUGAGUGAAGAAGGUUUUCGGAUCGUAAAGCUCUGUUGUAAGAGAGGAACGGGUGUGAGAGUGGAAAGUUCACACUGUGACGGUAUCUUACCAGAAAGGGACGGCUAACUACGUG